GGGGCGCGGCGGGCGGGCGCUGCCUCAGGACGCGGUGCUCGGGCGGGACCCCCCCCGCCUCGGGGGGCGCGGAACCCGGCCGGGGCUCCUCGGGGGGUACCGCCGGCAUCGCAGCUGGGGGCGCACCCCGGUACUGCGUGACCGCUCGGGGGUUACCUCAGCAUUGAGCCGGGGGCCCUGAGAGGCCGCUUGGGGUCACCCCCCGGAAACUUUCUGACUCCGCAGCGUGCCGUGACGCAGUGACACCUCUGCCCCCCCAAAAAAACAAAACAAAACAAAAGGGGAGAGGGCCGCUGAGCGGGGUGGCGCGGGCAAACGAGGCCUGAGCUGUGCUCCCCGCCUCGGGCCGUGCGGAGCUCCUCGCCCUGGCGCUGAGCGCUGCGCUGUGCGGUCGCCCGGCGCCUCGCACCGCUGCCCGGUCCGACCGAGCCCCGCUCCGCACCGCCUCGGCUGCAGUUUCCACGGGAACGGCUGUUGGAGCGGCGCAAAAAGCAGGGCUUCAAAGAGCUCUUCCCCUCCACACGCAUCCCGGCCUCACCUCUCCCUCCGCUGCGCCUUGCCGAGGGGACCCGCAGAAACGCGGCAGGGACGGAGGGUUGCCGAGUAAUCAAACGCUCACGGCUCAAACGCGGGCGCUCAGCCUGGCGCUGCAAGGCGGGAGCGGAGCGGGGCCGUGUGUGGGAGCUGUGGGCUGCGGGAGGAACGGCAGCGCCAGGCAGGGCUGCUGUGCCCGUGGGAACCCUCGUGGCCAUCCGGACCCGUCUGAGCAGGGCCCGACUCGCCUUGCGGCGAGCAGAAAGAGCUGAUCGCGAUGGAGGGGGUCGGGAAGCGUCGGGCUGGGAGUCGUCAGAUCCCGUGUGGAAGGAGCGAGCGGGGCCCGGCUUUGUGCUCCACGCGCUCCCACAGCGAGGCCGGACUGAACUCCCGGUCACGGCGAGGCACAGCUCGUGUCUGUGAGCCUCUGCUGCUCCUCCGCUGUUCUUAGGGGCCGGGCGAUGACCGGGAGCCUCCCCUGGGAUUGAGGCCGUGGAGGGUAAACCACCUACACGAGGGUAAAGAGGAGCUAAAUAUCCCUGUUAAAAAUAAUACCCUCGCAUUCAGCACAUUCUGCGCGGAGGAGGAAAGUGCCGCUGUCCCCAGGGCGAUCUGCGUGUGCUCUUGGCCAGGAACAAAUGAAAGAAAGGCCUUCUCUGUGCCCACACCAUCGUCCCUUUCCUGCCCCGCACUGUGGAAUGGCCACGGCCGCUUCUCUGCUCCUCACGUUUUGCAGCACGUCGAGCUCCACGUUCGCUCCUCAUCAGCAGUUUAUUUCCCUUUAAUUCAUUGAUUGUCUGAGAUACCGAGCAGACAAAAACCAGUUCCCUUCUUUCCCCUGCCCCUCAGGUCGUUGGGGACUAGAAAUUCAAUAGGGGCUGGAAUCUCCACCUCCUUUGAUGCCUCCAAAGGUCCGUCUGCAGGCGCCCAGCCUGGACGGGAGGUCAGGGAGGCUGUCCCCAGCACGGGGACAGCAGAGGAUGGAUGGGGACAGGCAUCUUCCUGCUGCUGCCCCUGCCUCAGCUUCUCCCCCGUCCCCCAGACCGGCUCCGUUUCUCGGCUGUUGCUAGGGGAGAUGGAGAAGAGCACUUGAUUGAAAGCUUCCUGCAAGUGGCACCGAGUCUAAAUAUUGCCAUUCCUACGCAAGCGAACCCAGCAGCGUGACUCCAGGACAGCGAGGUGGAACUCCUGUCCCGUGUGAACUCCAGUGCUCCCUGCAGCCCCGGCCCCGUGUCUUCCACCACCCGACGGCGAGAUGAUCUGAGCAAAUUAUAAGACGGUGCUUUGGACCAACUUAGCUCAAGAUCAGAAGGGAGACUAAUUUCACAUCUUCGCCGCCGCAGAAGGCAAUUAAAUGGCUCUGCGAAGUUUGAGCACAGGUUAGGACAAGAAAUUUUACAAUCAGAAAUCCCAACACCUGCGGCCAGCAGCGCUGCCUGCUCGAGUCAUGGGAGGACGUUCCGAGCCUCCUGAGUGCUCCCAGGGCUUGGAGAGCCAACGUCCUCUGCUCGGGUUCCUCUCUGCUGGGUUUUCCUUGGAUUUGUGGCAAUGCAGGCACCAGAAUUCAUUAAAAACUCAAACCAAUAACCACCUGCCCGAACCUCUCCCGUCUGACGGCUCACAGAGCUGGGUGCCUCCCUCUCUGCAUCCCGCAGUACCCGCCAGGCAGGCACCGAAACGGCCCCGCUCUGCUCAGCUCCAAGGCAGGAGAAAACGCUGCUGGGCGCCCAUGGGGCCGAAGGCAGCAGCCCCUGGCACAGCGAGGGCGAGUGGGACCGAUCGCACGGAGCCAUUAGCAUGCAAUGCGGAGGAACACGUAUUUUUGGGAGCCCUGCCUGGCUUGCGGCCUUGUGGUGGGGGGAGGCGGUGGGAUGCAGGGAGAGGUGCCUCGUCCCCCCCGGGAGUGCUGCUGGAGGUGCAGCUCCUUCCUUAAGGCCCUGAAUCAUCCCCGCUGCCAUCUGCUGCACCCUCGCUCUUCCCUGCAGAUGUCCUUCUUCCUUCCCCAGAAGGAGAUGAGAACUGAGGAUGAGGUGCCAAAUGCGACUUCAAACAGCAUCUAAUAAAACACGGGAUUAAUUUCUUCUGACUGCUGUUCGAUGGCUCUGAUUAAGCAGAGCAGAAUUUAAUUAGCUUGUUUGGACUGCCUCUAAACCCAUGCCAAAGGUGGGGGAGCCUCAGUGUCCGGGUCCCCCAAUGUCCAUGAGCUGCUGGGGUAGCCUGUGCUGCCCGACUGAGCAGAGCCUGCUGCACACCCAACCAGGCUGGCAGCAGUUUUGAGAUCCCCAGAACCUCCUUCAUCUCUGCAAGCCCCCCUGCAGCCAGGAUGGGGGCCGUGUGCUGGAUGUGCUGCCGGUGGCAAUAGGGAUGGAAACAUGGAGCCUCUCAGCGUAAACCGAACUCAUCCUGCUGCUGAGUCCUUGAGUUCAAGUAACCCUGUUCUCUCCCUGAUUUACUACGAGUUGCUGGCUCCUCUUCUCUCCCUCCUCCUGUCUCCUUUAACCCAUUUCAUUAUCUAUGCUAGCUUAGGCUUGCCUACGUGGGAACAUCACGGUGAGGUUAUUGCAAAAUAGAUGGGCUGUGAAUGCGAAAUGCGGCAGCCCUCCCCCAGCAGCACUGACUCCCUCCCCGCCAUACCUGUGCUCAGCACACUGCAGGACCCAGGCUCCCCAGCUCCCCCGCUGCUCCUGGGGUCUGAGGCUGCAGCUUCCCCUCCGUGCAGACAAGACAAGCACGCACGGAAGGCGUGCGUUUCCCUUCCAGCGACGUGUUGCAAUUAAGCAUCCCCUCCCUAUGCAACCCAGCGCUCAGGCAGGUAACUCCAGGCCAGAGCCACAGCCCAAACUGCUCUUUUUUAGCUGUUUAUGGUGUCUUUGGUUUUCUGUAUAUAAAAAAAAAGCAAAGAGCGCAGGGAAGAUCUGCUGGCUGAGGUGAGGAAGGGACCCAGCAGCUCCUUUUCUCCCUGCAGAUGAGGUUUUACAGGCUCUGUAGAGUCACCCCAGCACUGCUCCUCACCCUGGGGCCAUAUCACUCCCUGCUCCCUUAUCAGCCACCUGUGGGUGUCCCCGCCCCAUACAGGGCUCUGGGUGGGCUUGGGGCACACGGCAAAGCACAGGAGGAAUGGGGUGGGUGCCCCCGAGGAGCCCAUCCCUCCGAUUUCUGAGCAAAACAAGAACCAAAGCAGGGGAGUCCAUAAAGGGAAUAAGAAAAGACAACUACUUUUAUACGUGCACUUAAGUAUUUAGGUCAGUAUUUUUAGAAUAAAUAGCCGUGGGUUGGUUCCUAUCUUUUUCACUUUCAUUUUUUCACACUUCAGCUUCAUUUUCCUGACGCCGGGUAACUGCAGAAGCAGUUGGGUUUCUGCAAGCCCUCGCACCUCCCGGCACGCCGACCUCACCGCCUCUGGCUUCCCUCGGCCCCUCUGUCCCAUUCUUUUCCCUGGACACGGUCCGAACCUCCCACUUUUCAUGGCUGAAGGGCGACAAAGGGAAGGCUCACACCGCAGCGGGGCCAUCCCACAGCGAUGCCGCCCGGUUCCAUCCUUCUAUUCAAAGCAAAACCAUCCAGAAGGGUCCUUCGGAGCAAAGCCGUCUUCCGAGGGAAACAUUGGCAGCCUCGUUUGGCAGCGACAGCGCCUGGAUUUGCUGAAGGCCUCCAAAAUUAGAUGAGGCUUGGAAACUUGUGAUGGAUGUCACUGCGGCAGCGUGGAGGGAGGGCUCCGGCGCGGUGCUUCCCCCAGCCCGGGUGCUGCUCGGUGCCUGCUUGUCCCCAGGGCUCCCUGCAGCACAGCGGAGGCACACGCGUCGAGAAGCAGCAAUCCCGGGGUGCUAAAUGUGCUCCGCAGGGGCCGCUGCCAUGUGCCAAAGCGAUGGAGCUCCUCGUAAACGCGCCGAGCGUAGGAAACGAGCCCUCAGCGUGCCAGCAGGGAGCUGGGCUGGGGCCGCUGUGUCCCUAUGAGCUGGGGAUACGGGGGGCUCUGGGGGCACGGCGGACAAGGGGAGCAGCGGGGGCACACGCCGGGGCUGCGAGCGCGGCGUAUCCCAAAGCAAAGCUCCCCUCCUCCCCGGCUCGACGGCCGCGUCACCUCCAA